CCUACGGGUGGCAGCAGUGAGGAAUAUUGGUCAAUGGACGCGACCCUGAACCAGCCAAGUAGCGUGAAGGAUGACGGCCCUAUGGGUUGUAAACUGCUUUUAUAAAGGAAUAAAGUGAGUCACGUGUGCCUUUUUGUAUGUACCUUAUGAAUAAGGAUCGGCUAAUUCCGUGCCAGCAGCCGCGGUAAUACGGAGGAUGCGAGCGUUAUCCGGAUUUAUUGGGUUUAAAGGGUGCGUAGGCGGGCUUUUAAGUCUUCGGUAAAAUUUCGGGGCUCAACCCCGUCCGGCCGGUGAAACUGGGGGCCUUGAGUGGGCGAGAAGAAGGCGGAAUGCGUGGUGUAGCGGUGAAAUGCAUAGAUAUCACGCAGAACUCCGAUUGCGAAGGCAGCCUUCCGUCGCCCUACUGACGCUGAGGCACGAAAGUGCGGGGAUCGAACAGGAUUAGAUACCCCUGUAGUC
rnacentral:rRNA from 1 species